rnacentral:lncRNA from 1 species
GUAUUUUGCUAAGUUUUUCCUCUACUCUUGAGUCCUCCUUUAAUCUAUAGAGUGUUAUUCUACACUGGACCUCUCUCUUAUUUUUUGGAGUCUAGCAUCUUGCAUCUUCCUGGAGCCCCAACUAAACUCAUAACUUCUAAGCUUCUAAGAAAUAUAUGACGAGCUCCAUGAGGGCCAAGGCUCUCCAUUCUUGUUCACCACUGCACACUCAGGAGCUCAUGGCAUGCUGGCUGUGCUAGUUCUAUCCUCAACAGAAUAAUUGCUGACAAACUCUCUUGCCCAGAAAAUGUCUACUGGAAUUAUGGAGUACAAAAAAACUACAAAAGCAAUGAAAAAAAGAAGGAUGUUUUAUUUACAUCCUAUUUCAAAACCAUUGCUUUCUUGCUAUUGUAUGUCUCUGCAGGCCCAAUAUCGCGCAUCUUCAUAAGAAGUUUAGAAUUGUUCCUUAUGUUUCCUUCUAACAAACACUGGUGUUAAGUUUCAAGAAGUUGGUGAAAUGGAGACAGCCAAUCCAACCCAGGAGACAGUGUUUGAAAACAGGGCUUCAGCUACUUGCAUGAUGUGGAUUGGGGAAAUGGUCUGUCCUCCUAGCCAUGGGAUGUCCCUGCUGUGUUCAGGAAUCUUUCCAUCUCUUGGAUUUUAAAGGAAAGUAUCCUUUCUGUCAGUAAAGUUUUCCUUCAAUCCCAUAAAUAAAUCAUUUACAAAUAAUCUUCUAAAUAUUUAGAAUGUAUAUAAAAAACAAUUUAAAAUAAUCUAAAUAAAUGAUAAUCAUUCUCUUUGACAUCCAAGCUCCUUAUCAGACUUACAACAUUUAAUUCUUACUUCUCUUUUAUUUUUAAUCUCAUCUACCUUUAUCAUUUGUAUUACAACUUUGCAUCUCAGUUGUAUAUAAAAGCUUACUUAGUAUUCCAAGGUAAUUUUAUCACCUUGUACACACUGGCCAUGGAGCUCCAUUGCCUAGAAUAAUGUCUCUAUUCUUUAUGUUGAACAUCAAGGCUACUUGAUAUAUAUAUAUAUCGUGAAUCUAUCUGCCAGCCUAAACGUCAUUUUCUCUUCUUUAUAUCCUCAUACAGGUUAAUUUUUCCUUCCCUAUAAAGAUAGGGCCUUUAUAGAGGUAAUCGCCUUAAAAUGAGGCUAUUAGAGUGGCCUUAAUCCAACAUCACUAGAGUUCUUAGAAGAAGGGGACAUUUGGACACAGAGACAUGGGGAGAACGCCAUAUGAAGACGAAGGCAGAGAUUCAUCUACAAACCAAGGAACUACAAAGACUGCCAGCAGCCCCCAGAAGCCAGGCGGCAGACAUGGAACAGAUUCUCCCUCACAGCUGUCAGGAGGAGCCAACCCUGCCUCCAGAAUUGUGAAGCACUAAGUUUCUGUUGUUUAGGCCUUCCAGUCUCUGCUACUUUAUUGCAACAACUCUAGCAAAUUAAUGCACAAAUGGCAGAAUGGUAUUUUUCAACUUUUAUGAGAAAAGUAAAGGCAGUUAUAGUAGAAGAGAGCAUCAUGAGUCGACUGUGCUCAGAUAGGGCUAUUUGCUUUUCCCCAACUAUGCUCCAUACUUUUUUCUUUUCAUAUGUUUUUUUUGAGUCGGGGUCUUGCUCUGCUGCCCAGGUUGGAGUGCAGUGUCAUGAUCAUAGCUCACUGUAACCUCGACCUUCUGAGCUUGAGUGAUCCUCCUGUCUCAGCCUCCCAAGUAGCUGAGACUGCAGGUGCAUGCCAACACAGCUGGCUAUUUAUUUGUUUUUAUUUUAUUGUAGAGACAGGGUCUCAUUGUGUUGCCCAGGCUGGCCUCAAACUUCUGGCCUUAAGUCAUCCUCCUGUCUUGGCCUCCCAAAGUGCUGGGACUAUGGGUGUGAACCCAUCGCACCCAGACAUUUUGUACUUCUUUAAUUUGGAGUGUCUUUCCUUUCCAUGCAUGCCUAUAGAAUUUAUGAUUAUCAUUUAGCCCAAAGAAGACUUUCGCAUAAAUUCUGCCGUAACCCUUGUUGGAAUAAAUGUAUUCCUCUAAGCUCCCUCUAGCUCUAUUUGUAUCUUUAUUAUAAAUAUUAAUAUAUCUUUCCUUGCAUUGCUGUUACAUGUAUGCACAUCUUAUCUUCUGGCAAUAAAUAAGCCUCGUCCCUUGGGGGAAGGGCUAACCUUUCCUCCUUCUGGUAUUGCUCAGGAUGCUGACCACAGCACCCUGCACAGAGAAGAGGUUUAAUAUUUAUUUUAUUACUUAAAUUGCAUAAGAGGGAUCUACCUACUUGUGAAAAAGGUUGCUGUGACCUGUGUUCCUUCUUCUGUGACAAGAAACUAAAAUGUACAUAUAUUCUCUUCUUGAUGUUCUUUCGAGUUUUAUCUCCUUCCUAGAUCUGGUUCACCAGAUUUCCUCCCCUCCUUUUUUUUCAUCAAUACAAAACUUCAAGUCGCAGUCUUGCCAAUAAUUCUUCUUUGACUAAUUUAUGAGUUAAAUAAAGAAAAAAUUCCUCACACACAUAUCAUGUCCAAGGUCAGCUCAACAUUGCUUUAUUCCACACCUCUCAAUGGGUGUAUGAUGCGGGCCCACUUUAACACUGUAUCAGUGGUUGAUUCCUACGUGCAGAUCUUUCUGCUCUUUUUGCCUGAAUUAUCUUCAAUGUUCUUUGUGCAAAAAUCACAGCCAGUAUAGUCUAUUUCCAAAAGAGCUGUAAAGAGGCAUUUCAGAAACUUCCCUAAACAAUAUUUCUUUAAAAUGCACCAAGCUGGAUAAAGCCGCUUUGUGACCUGCAUAAAAACUCCAACGGAUAAAUGUGUAUUACCUUCCCAAAGAACUACUUCUCCAAAGUUAUUCCAGCUCUUUCCAGUUGAAAUGUCAAACUUGACAUAAAAAUGAGAUGUUCUUGCAUCAAUUAAUAAACAAAUAAAUCUGUGUUUCCCAUUGCCCUUUUCAUUCAGUGCGUUUAAUGAUUUGGUUGAAGUUACUGGUUACCUGUCUGUUUCCUCCAUUAUAUUUUAUUCCUCAGGAAUAGAAUCUACAUUCUAUUUGCCUUUAUGUCUCCAAAACCCGACACAGAGUGGGUGUUCAAGUAACUUUACUGAUAUCAGUAAUUUGCAUAGGUAAACAAUUCUGAAUAGAGUGAAUCAAACACAAACUUCAAGUAGAUUCAGCAAUUCUUACAGGAUGGCAUUAUCACUUUAAUGAUAUUUCUCAAUUUGUGUUACAAUUUGAUUAAACAAUUUUUACCCUAAAGCUUUG